GUGCUGGCUUCAGCAGCACAUAUACUAAAAUUGGAACGAUAUAGAGAUUAGCACAGCCCCUACAUAAGGAUGAUACACAAAUUCAUGAAGUAACCCAUAUUUUA